GCGCUAAUAGCUCAGUUGGGAGAGCGUCAGACUGAAGAUCUUACUACUUCAGCUCUUGAAAACCCGGGGUAAUCUGAAGGUCACCCGUUCAAUCCGGGUUUGGCGCA